UACGUAGGGUGCAAGCGUUGUCCGGAAUUAUUGGGCGUAAAGAGCUCGUAGGCGGUCUGUCACGUCUGCUGUGAAAACUCGGGGCUUAACUCCGGGUCUGCAUUCGAUACGGGCAGGCUAGAGUUCGGUAGGGGAGAUCGGAAUUCCUGGUGUAGCGGUGAAAUGCGCAGAUAUCAGGAGGAACACCGGUGGCGAAGGCGGAUCUCUGGGCCGAUACUGACGCUGAGGAGCGAAAGCGUGGGGAGCGAACAGG
rnacentral:rRNA from 1 species